GAGCCGCUAGCUCAGUCGGUAGAGCACCUGACUUUUAAUCAGGUGGUCGCCAGUUCGACCCUGGCGCGGCUCACCA
rnacentral:tRNA from 1 species